GGUGGGGCACCUGGCCUGGGUCUUCGAGGACCCAUGGUGGGGAGCCAGAAGCAGGGUAUGGCAUCAAGGGGCAACAGAGACACCACUGUACCCUGGGAAGGGGGGAUUGGAGCCUGGGCCAGGGCAGAGGCUUCAUCCCCAGCAUGCAUUUUCAGAGCAAGUUUUCCCAGGGGCAAUGAGAGAAGUUGAGAGAAGGAGGAUGAAAAGGCCUGAAUGAGCCAAAUACCUCCUCAGGGCUGGAGAGACAGGAAGCCUCCUAAUACAUGGGAGAAGCUGAGGCUGGAACUUUGCCCUUCCCCUCCUGAUCUGCUACUGCUAAUGGAACCCUCCUCCCGCCCCCAUGGUUCCAUUACCCACCUCCAGGGGACCAUUACUGUGCCUGGGCCUUCACCAUUAGCCUGCCUUGGCUGCUUGGUUCCAGGGAGACUCCCUCGAUGCUAUUCCAGCCUUUCAGAUGGCCUGUUGUGUGACGCUGGCUGUGUCUCAAUUUCCGGUUUGAUCAAUGGUUUUACAUUACUUCAGCCACAAAAUCUUUCAUGUGCUUGCAACAAAUUCUUACCAGGAAAUGUAAAUAAAUAAAAAUACAAAGGCAAAGGUGCUCAAGUUGAAGUGGGAUGGGAGUUCCCCAGGCAGCCCCAGGUAAGGGGGACUCUGUUGGGGGAUUUGAAGCCUGCUGGGCUUGAUGGCCUCUGAAACCCAGCGAUGGGACUGCCUGGGGAGGAUGUCAGGAGACGAAACUUCUAGGCCCUCAUUGCAUGGGAUACUAACGCCUUGAGCCCAGACAGCUUGGGAUGAUGAAUAAAACCAUGAAAAAAGAAUUUAAGGAUAGGGUGCAGGGGCUCAUGCCUGGAAUCCCAGCACUUUGGGAGGCCGAGGCAGGAGGACUGCUUGGACUCAGCAGUUUGAGACCAGCCUGGUCAACACAGGGAGAUCCCAUCUCUACAAAAAAUUUACAAAUUAGCCCGGCAUGGUGGCAUGUGCCUGUAUUCCCAGCUACUUGGGAGGCUGAGAUGGGAGGAUCCCUUGGCCCUGGGACAUAGAGACUGUAGUGUGCUGUGAUCAUGCCACUGCACUACGGCCUGGGUGACAGAGUGAGGCCCUUUCUCAAAAAAUUUAAGACAGGCCAGCAAGUGAGAGAUUAGUAUUACUCCCUUUUGCAAAAGAGGAAACUCAGGCUCAGAGAGGAGUCAUAGGACAGGUGAGGUAAGACUGGAAUCUAAACCCAAGGCUAUGGGGUUCAAGGACUAGGCCCCUUCCUCUGCUCCUCAAGCCUCACUAAGUCACCUGUGUGG
rnacentral:lncRNA from 10 species